rnacentral:rRNA from 1 species
UACGUAGGUGGCACGCGUUAUCCGGAAUUAUUGGGCGUAAAGCGCGCGUAGGCGGUUUUUUGAGUCUGAUGUGAAAGCCCACGGCUCAACCGUGGAGGGUCAUUGGAAACUGGAAAACUUGAGUGCAGAAGAGGAAAGUGGAAUUCCAUGUGUAGCGGUGAAAUGCGCAGAGAUAUGGAGGAACACCAGUGGCGAAGGCGACUUUCGGGUCUGUAACUGACGCUGAUGUGCGAAAGCGUGGGGAUCAAACAGG